UGGGGAAUAUUGGACAAUGGGCGAAAGCCUGAUCCAGCCAUGCCGCGUGUGUGAAGAAGGUCUUCGGAUUGUAAAGCACUUUAAGUUGGGAGGAAGGGCAGUAAAUUAAUACUUUGCUGUUUUGACGUUACCGACAGAAUAAGC
rnacentral:rRNA from 1 species